GCUCCCGUAGUGUAAUGGAAUCUGAAAAGAUUUAAGCAUAUGCGCCUUCUAAGCGUUUGGAGUGGGUUCGAAUCCCAUCGGGGGUA